rnacentral:rRNA from 1 species
AUUGAACGCUGGCGGCAGGCUUAACACAUGCAAGUCGAGCGGGGUGAUGGUGCUUGCACUAUCACUUAGCGGCGGACGGGUGAGUAAUGCUUAGGAAUCUGCCUAUUAGUGGGGGACAACAUCUCGAAAGGGAUGCUAAUACCGCAUACGUCCUACGGGAGAAAGCAGGGGAUCACUUGUGACCUUGCGCUAAUAGAUGAGCCUAAGUCGGAUUAGCUAGUUGGUGGGGUAAAGGCCUACCAAGGCGACGAUCUGUAGCGGGUCUGAGAGGAUGAUCCUCCACACUGGGACUGAGACACGGUCCAGACUCCUACGGGAGGCAGCAGUGGGGAAUUUUGGACAAUGGGCGAAAGCCUGAUCCAGCCAUUCCGCGUGCAGGAUGAAGGCCCUCGGGUUGUAAACUGCUUUUGUACAGAACGAAAAGGUUUCUACUAAUACUAGGAGCUCAUGACGGUACUGUAAGAAUAAGCACCGGCUAACUACGUGCCAGCCGCCGCCGUAA